rnacentral:rRNA from 1 species
CUUUACCUACGGGACGCAGCAGUGGGGGAUAUUGCACAAUGGGGGGAACCCUGAUGCAGCGACGCCGCGUGAGCGAUGAAGUAUUUCGGUAUGUAAAGCUCUAUCAGCAGGGAAGAAAAUGACGGUACCUGACUAAGAAGCCCCGGCUAACUAUGUGCCAGCAGCCGCGGUAAUACAUAGGGGGCAAGCGUUAUCCGGAAUUAUUGGGUGUAAAGGGUGCGUAGACGGAAGAACAAGUUGGUUGUGAAAUCCCUCGGCUCAACUGAGGAACUGCAAUCAAAACUAUUCUCCUUGAGU